ACGUUUGAGGUCGGAGGGUAAGCGUGGUAAGCGACACAUUUGUGAGGAUCCUGGCGUAACGUCAAUGCCUGACUUCUCUAUCUGAAACAAUGUGGGGAAAAAACGGAUAGUAACCGAGUGCAUCAGUAAUAAGUACGUGUGGAUGAUAUCAAAUGGGAGUACAUUGUGUUGAAUAAUCAAUCAAAUCAAGUUUCCGGAUCUGAUAUACGGUAUUACGGUGAAUGUCCCGGAAUUCAAAUAGGAUGAAGGUGUGAAAUUAGAUAGAAACCUGGAGUUAACUUUUACUCGACCGGUAUCAUGUAGCUGGCCAAUCACAGGGUGUGUAAUAGAACGGCAGCACGGAGCCUGCCAGUCAAAGAGCGUGUACUAGAACUACAGCAUGGAGCUGGAUGUGUACUGGAAACGUAAAAUAUAACAUUUUUAACUUUGUUUAUAUUUCGUAUAGCCAAUCGACUAUAAGCAUCUCCUCUUGAAAUGACAAAUUAAAAUCAACGGACAUGAAAAUACAUUUUGUAUUUUAAUGCACCAAUCAAAGUCUACGGCAUAGACAAACGAUGUCGCGAUCUAAAUUGGUCCAACCAAAGCCAAGUUAGUCUGUUAAAAAGGAUUAGAUUGAUUUUUUUUAAGCGACGAUGAGUUUUCUUUUAUCCAUUUGCUAUAAAUUUACUGAUUUACAUAAUAUUGAUAAACAUAACAAUAAUUUA